rnacentral:rRNA from 1 species
UGCGUAGGCGGGGCAAUAAGUCAGUGGUGAAAUCCUGCGGCUUAACCGUAGAACUGCCAUUGAUACUGUUGCCCUUGAGUAUAGUUGAGGUGGGCGGAAUAUGUAAUGUAGCGGUGAAAUGCAUAGAUAUUACAUAGAACACCGAUUGCGAAGGCAGCUCACUAAACUAUCACUGACGCUGAGGCACGAAAGCGUGGGGAGCGAACAGGAUUAGAUACCCUGGUAGUCC